rnacentral:rRNA from 1 species
GAUAAACGCUAGCGGCAGGCUUAACACAUGCAAGUCGAGGGGCAGCAUAGAUUGUAGCAAUACAAUUGGUGGCGACCGGCGCACGGGUGCGUAACGCGUAUGCAACCUACCCGUCACAGGGGGAUAAUCCGGAGAAAUCUGGUCUAAUACCCCAUAACAUAUGGAUCGGCAUCGGUUCAUGUUGACAUUUUCGGAGGUGACGGAUGGGCAUGCGUAGCAUUAGCUUGGUGGUGAGGUAACGGCUCACCAAGGCGACGAUGCUUAGGGGGACUGAGAGGUUUUCCCCCCACACUGGUACUGAGACACGGACCAGACUCCUACGGGAGGCAGCAGUGAGGAAUAUUGGUCAAUGGGCGCAAGCCUGAACCAGCCAUGCCGCGUGCAGGAUGACGGCUCUAUGAGUUGUAAACUGCUUUUGUACGAGGGUAAAGUGGGUUACGUGUAACCUUUUGAAAGUAUCGUACGAAUAAGGAUCGGCUAACUCCGUGCCAGCCGCCGCGGUAA